rnacentral:misc_RNA from 1 species
GAGAGAGAGAGAGAGAGAGGGAAGUGCUAAAAGAAGAGAUGGGUAGGGGUUUGAUGGCGGAAAGGCCUGGGGACAGGUGCUAAAGAGGGCUGGGUUUUGGAGACAUGCAAGGGCACACGUGGAGCGCUCAAGUUUUUACGACUCCUAGAUCUGCGUGUGACCUAUGGACUUUUUCUUUUUCAAUCACAAGAUUGGUUUCUUGAGUUUUUCCCCUGCUUUAAGGUGGUCUUGGUCCUGGCCCAUCUGGCCCGGCCUGGAAAAAGAAUCCCUGAAGGUCUUUCUAUGUUGCUUGAAUCGGCCUGCAAAGGAUUCUACAAUUGCUGUGCUUUUCAAAACCAAUUAAUGAGCAAAUUCAUAACUUUAGAAAUUUUUUAUUUUGAUCAACGUAUACCACUGUAGUUGUUACAAUCCUCGAUCAACGAAUCGGAUACAGAAGUGGAUGUUGGUGAACCCCAGCAGCAAGGAGCAGAAAACAAGCAACUAAUAUGAAUCCAAAUAUGAAGAAAACAACUAUAACGUGGACAUCAUUAUCAACCUUAUUUUCAGUAGUAAGUAUAUCAGGAAUCCUGGAAUGUUGCUUAUCCUUCUCUGUGUAUGCAUUUUUCUUCCUGUUGUCUAAUUUGGUCUUCCUGAGAGGCUGCUGCUCAUUAGCAUCAAUUAAACUGCUAGUCUUUACAACAGAUGUUUCUGGCAGUGAGAACUCUUGUACAUCCUCUUUGGCCAAUUCUGAUCCAGAGCUGGAGACCCUGUGGCUAGAAAUUUUAGCUAAAUCUGGCAACGCUUGAAAUUUUGAGAUAACAGUUGUAGCAGAGUCAGUAAACGAAACUCUCCUUAUACUUUCUCUGGCUACUUGAAGAGCUUCCAGUAGUACUAGUACUGUCAUUUUUAUCACUCUCAGUUGACGAGUGGUGCGAGGAAUUGCUGUCAUCCAACAGAAGUUGUUUGGAUUUCUCAUGGGGUUUUUGGUUUGGGUUUUUGCUAAUAAGGUCCCAUUUUGAAGGGCUCCUUCCAUAGUUUUGGAUUUCAUAUCUCAAGCAAGUGUUCAGCCAGCGUUGGUGUACUAGCUCUUCUACCAUGCUGAAUCUGUUCUUCUGCAAUCUCUCUACUUGAUUCCAAAGGUACUCAUUGUGAAGUUUCAAAGUAGUUACUUCCUCCUCAAUCUUGGUAAUACUUUUGCUCUGCACCAGUUUCAAACAACACAUAGAUAAAUGCAAAUAAGCUUCAAGAAUUAGUUCUUUGUAAAAUUUUCAAGUCACCAAGAAUGUUAAUUAUCAAUUAAUUUGUUGGAAGUGCAUGAAAAGAUAGAAUAUUAGAAGUUAUUCUACAGAUGUUAAGGCGUAGAUAUACCUACAUACAUGCUGAAGCUUUCAUUGUAUCUAUAUGGAGCUAAAAUUAUAUUUACCUCUGUCAAGUUGGAGAGGGAAGUUUUUCUUGCUUGAGCAGUAACUAACUUAACUGCCAGUUCCCUCUUUUCCAACUCAGGUUCUUUAUUUUUCCUCCUCAUCUCAUAAUAUUCUAAUUCAACAUCUUUGAGAGCUUUCAUUCUCUCCACAAUCGCUGUAUCUCUGUAAGUGAAUUCAUCUCUUUGAAAUCCAGAAACUUUUUCUUGAAGCAUCAUCAAUUGGACCUUCAAAUGGCUUUCAUUGGCAUUCAUUUUCCUCUCAAUUUUCUCUAUCAUCUCUUUUGCCACCUUUACUUGCUUUUCCGCCGAGAUUCCCUCUUUUAUUUCUUUCUGCAGAUGAUUAAUCUUAUUAUACAAAGAAUUAAAGGUGAUAUUAAGCAUGUCCAUCUCCUUCAUCUUCUCCUCCAAGUUUUUUCGCAACUGGGCAAUGUAAGAUUGCUGUUCUUUUAGACUAUAAAGCUCAAACAAUUUCUGAUAUUGAUGAGUUAUCUGUAUGCUUUACUUCCUCUUCAAUCUGUUGGAGUCUCGAUACAUCUUUCCCUGAGUGCUUUGCAUAAGAGUUCUCUUUACUCUGAGAAACUGCAAUAGCUGAAACUGCAGCCACCGCCAGAAAGCUUACCUCACGUAGUUGUUGUCACAGAUCAGAACAGAAAAUUUUCCUAAUUAGUGGGAAUUACUUGUUCUGUGUCUUCAGCACCAUAUCCUCUUACUCACUCUGGUCCUGUUGUACAUAUGCUUCUCAUGGAGUAGCAGAAGAUAAAAUCUCAUCACUAAGCAGUGGUUGAUUUUUCUUUCCCUGCAAACAUGGAUAUUUAAUGCUUU